rnacentral:rRNA from 1 species
UCAUCUUCGGGGGUAGAGCACUGUUUCGGCUAGGGGGUCAUCCCGACUUACCAACCCGAUGCAAACUACGAAUACCGAAGAAUGUUAUCACGGGAGACACACGGCGGGUGCUAACGUCCGUCGUGAAGAGGGAAACAACCCAGACCGCCAGCUAAGGUCCCAAAGUCAUGGUUAAGUGGGAAACGAUGUGGGAAGGCACAGACAG